AUUGAACGCUGGCGGCAGGCCUAACACAUGCAAGUCGAGCGGAUGAAGGGAGCUUGCUCCUGGAUUCAGCGGCGGACGGGUGAGUAAUGCCUAGGAAUCUGCCUGGUAGUGGGGGAUAACGUCCGGAAACGGGCGCUAAUACCGCAUACGUCCUGAGGGAGAAAGUGGGGGAUCUUCGGACCUCACGCUAUCAGAUGAGCCUAGGUCGGAUUAGCUAGUUGGUGGGGUAAAGGCCUACCAAGGCGACGAUCCGUAACUGAUCUGAGAGGAUGAUCAGUCACACUGGAACUGAGACACGGUCCAGACUCCUACGGGAGGCAGCAGUAGGGAAUAUUGGACAAUGGGCGAAAGCCUGAUCCAGCCAUGCCGCGUGUGUGAAGAAGGUCUUCGGAUUGUAAAGCACUUUAAGUUGGGAAGAAGGGCAGUAAGAUUAUACCUUGCUGUUUUGACGUUACCAACAGAAUAAGCCCCGGCUAACUUCGUG
rnacentral:rRNA from 1 species